rnacentral:tRNA from 1 species
GCCGUGGUGGUUCAGUGGUAGAAUUCUCCCCUUCCAUGUGAGAGACCCAGGUUGGAUCCUCGGCCACAGCA